rnacentral:rRNA from 1 species
UGAGGAAUAUUGGUCAAUGGGCGAGAGCCUGAACCAGCCAAGUAGCGUGCAGGAUGACGGCCCUAUGGGUUGUAAACUGCUUUUAUAAGGGAAUAAAGUGAGUCUCGUGAGACUUUUUGCAUGUACCUUAUGAAUAAGGACCGGCUAAUUCCGUGCCAGCAGCCGCGGUAAUACGGAAGGUCCGGGCGUUAUCCGGAUUUAUUGGGUUUAAAGGGAGCGUAGGCCGGAGAUUAAGCGUGUUGUGAAAUGUAGACGCUCAACGUCUGCACUGCAGCGCGAACUGGUUUCCUUGAGUACGCACAAAGUGGGCGGAAUUCGUGGUGUAGCGGUGAAAUGCUUAGAUAUCACGAAGAACUCCGAUUGCGAAGGCAGCUCACUGGAGCGCAACUGACGCUGAAGCUCGAAAGUGCGGGUAUCGAACAGGAUUAGAUACCCUGGUAGUCCGCACGGUAAACGAUGGAUGCCCGCUGUUGGUCUGAACAGGUCAGCGGCCAAGCGAAAGCAUUAAGCAUCCCACCUGGGGAGUACGCCGGCAACGGUGAAACUCAAAGGAAUUGACGGGGGCCCGCACAAGCGGAGGAACAUGUGGUUUAAUUCGAUGAUACGCGAGGAACCUUACCCGGGCUUGAAUUGCAGAGGAAGGAUUUGGAGACAAUGACGCCCUUCGGGGUCUCUGUGAAGGUGCUGCAUGGUUGUCGUCAGCUCGUGCCGUGAGGUGUCGGCUUAAGUGCCAUAACGAGCGCAACCCCUCUCCUUAGUUGCCAUCAGGUCAAGCUGGGCACUCUGGGGACACUGCCACCGUAAGGUGUGAGGAAGGUGGGGAUGACGUCAAAUCAGCACGGCCCUUACGUCCGGGGCUACACACGUGUUACAAUGGCAGGUACAGAGAGACGGUCCCUUGCAAAAUGGAUCAAAUCCUUAAAGCCUGUCUCAGUUCGGACUGGGGUCUGCAACCCGACCCCACGAAGCUGGAUUCGCUAGUAAUCGCGCAUCAGCCAUGGCGCGGUGAAUACGUUCCC